rnacentral:rRNA from 1 species
CACCGGCGGCUCGAGUGGUGGCCACUUUUAUUGGGUCUAAAGCGUCCGUAGCCGGCUUGGCAAGUCCCCUGGGAAAUCUGGCGGCUUAACCGUCAGGCGUCCAGAGGAUACUGCCAGGCUUGGGACCGGGAGAGGUGAGAGGUACCUCAGGGGUAGGGGCGAAAUCCGUUAAUCCCGGGAGGACCACCCGUGGCGAAGGCGCUCGGCUGGAACGCGCCCGACGGUGAGGGGCGAAAGCCGGGGGAGCGAACCGG